rnacentral:rRNA from 1 species
UACGAAGGGGGCUAGCGUUGUUCGGAAUUACUGGGCGUAAAGCGCACGUAGGCGGACUACUAAGUCAGGGGUGAAAUCCUGGAGCUCAACUCCAGAACUGCCUUUGAUACUGAGGGGCUCGAGUCCGGGAGAGGUGAGUGGAACUGCGAGUGUAGAGGUGAAAUUCGUAGAUAUUCGCAAGAACACCAGUGGCGAAGGCGGCUCACUGGCCCGGUACUGACGCUGAGGUGCGAAAGCGUGGGGAGCAAACAGG